rnacentral:rRNA from 1 species
UACAGAGGGUGCAAGCGUUAAUCGGAAUUACUGGGCGUAAAGCGUGCGUAGUCGGUUAUCUAAGUCGGAUGUGAAAUCCCCGGGCUCAACCUGGGAACUGCAUUUGUGACUGCAUAGCUAGAGUACGGCAGAGGGGGAUGGAAUUCCGCGUGUAGCAGUGAAAUGCGUAGAUAUGCGGAGGAACACCGAUGGCGAAGGCAAUCCCCUGGGCCUGUACUGACGCUCAUGCACGAAAGCGUGGGGAGCAAACAGG